UCUUCUUCCUUAAUUCCCUAAAUCAAAGCAAAGUUCCUCUUCCCUAAAUUAGACGCAGAGAUGGCGAGAAGCGGCGAGAAGCGAGAAGAAAAAGGAAGAAUCAGAAGCGAAGAAUAAUGGGCAAGAAAAACAGAAAGAAUCAGAUGGCAGCUAGAUGAAGAUGCUCUGGUUAUUCUUUUUCAUUGUCGGUAUUUUUUUUACUUUUAAUUUGUGAACUAAAAAAUAUAGCUUGUAUGGUCUGACUUUUGAGGAUGAAGAUGACUUCUGUGAUGGGUUGAUAGUCUUUUUCAUUAUUAUUAUUAUUAUUAUUAUUAUUAUUAUUAUUAUUAUUAUUAUUAUUUUGCUUUUAAUUUUUGAGUUUUGUUGUAUGUUCAUGGUUGCCUGUGUGUGAGGGGAAGGCCCGUGUGUGAGGGGAAGGAGAAGGGGAGAAGAUGAUUGAAGGGUAAAAUUAUCAUUUAUCAACUUGAGUUUGAUCAGCUAUCUUGAAAACACUUGUCUUGGUAGCUUUUUUAGUUUCAGCUGAUUGCACCAAUAAGCUAAGUGAAUAAGCUGAUUACCAAACACCAAUUUUAGCCAAAUCAACUAAAAAAUGGCUGAUAAGCCAAUAUCCAAACACCCCCGCUAUUUGGAGUAAUUCUCUAUCCUUUUCUCUGUGGCUAAGAGUAACCCCCUCCCAAAAUGAUGGAUUCCCGCUUGUUGCAGAAAGACUUGAACCAAACUACUAAACUGUUGGUCAGUACUGAGGAAGAACUAAGACAAUGCCAAUAUGCCCUAAAGGAACGAGAUUUUAUAAUAUCUGAACAGAAAAAAGCUGAAAAUGCAUUGAUACAUCAAGCAUGCGUUUUGCGCGCUGACUUGGAGAGAGCUCUCCAAGACAAUGCUGGACUAUUUCUUAAAAUUAGUAUGUUGUUGAGCUGUUCAGUGAUAACUUGCUAAGCUUGUGCUGAUAAUAGGUCAGUUGUAAAUGGCUUCCAAGCUGAGCUUGCAAACCAGCUUGGUUCUCUUUGUAACAGAGUGGCCAUGUCUAUGUCCCAGCAGAGUGAACACCUUCAAUGUGUGAGAAAUUCUGUGGUUUUGUAAGGAUAUGUAUGCAUCCCUACAUUUGUUUUUGGAAGGUUAUUUCUGCUUUCUAGGGGUUUGAAACUAUGACCUAGUGGUCAAUGGGUGGGCACUUUGCUACUGCAGCAAACACA